GUUAGACCAGUUAUGGUUAGCAGAACCUGAGCCAAGCCUGCACAUCUGAAUCUCUCAUUACUCAGAGGAGUAACCUAGAAUCCUAACCAGUCUUUGUCCUCUCUGCUUCUUAGGAAGACCUGAUUGAAGCCUGGAGCUCUGGAGGAGCUCAUUUUUGGAAACCUGCCUGCCUGCCCUGAGAAGCAAAACCUGAAGAAUCUCAGUCUGCAUCUGCCUGCCAGUUCUCAGGAGAGAACUUUGAGAAACACUCAAGGUCUGAACCUCACUAGUCUGAAGCCAAGCUCUGCCGCUGCUAAGCUCUCUGCUGAACCCUCAGUCUCUGGACCCAACUGGUUCCCUCUCUCCACCGCUCAGCCUGAACCACAUCCGAGAACCCUGUGAAUCCAGUCCUGGACCUGUACCCGCAUCAGUGCAAACUAAUUAUCUUGUGCUUUCUUUCAAUAAACUGUUGAAACUUUUAA